rnacentral:rRNA from 1 species
GACGAACGCUGGCGGCGUGCUUAACACAUGCAAGUCGAACGAUGAAGCCGGAGCUUGCUCCGGUGGAUUAGUGGCGAACGGGUGAGUAACACGUGAGCAAUCUGCCCUUGACUCUGGGAUAACUGCGGGAAACUGUAGCUAAUACCGGAUACGACACCUUGGGGCAUCCCAGGGUGUGGAAAGAAUUUCGGUCAAGGAUGAGCUCGCGGCCUAUCAGCUAGUUGGUGAGGCAAUGGCUCACCAAGGCGACGACGGGUAGCCGGCCUGAGAGAGUGACCGGCCACACUGGAACUGAGACACGGUCCAGACUCCUACGGGAGGCAGCAGUGGGGAAUAUUGCACAAUGGGCGAAAGCCUGAUGCAGCAACGCCGCGUGAGGGAUGAAGGCCUUCGGGUUGUAAACCUCUUUUAGCAGGGAAGAAGCGAAAGUGACGGUACCUGCAGAAAAAGCACCGGCUAACUACGUGCCAGCCGCCGCGGUAA